ensembl:snoRNA SNORA71 Small nucleolar RNA SNORA71
ACCUGCAUUCAAAAGUGAUCACGGGCUGUCUGUGCUCUGGUCAUUGAUAAUGCAGGGAGAGGAAUUGUUGAAAGCAGUUUCCCGUGUUUGGAGGGUCCACACCUGUCCCUUUCAAAUGCUGGCGCUUUCACACA